UACGUAGGGUGCGAGCGUUUGUCCGGAAUUAUUGGGCGUAAAGAGCUUGUAGGCGGUUUGUCGCGUCUGCUGUGAAAAUCCGGGGCUCAACCCCGGACUUGCAGUGGGUACGGGCAGACUAGAGUGUGGUAGGGGAGACUGGAAUUCCUGGUGUAGCGGUGAAAUGUCGCAGAUAUCAGGAGGAACACCGAUGGCGAAGGCAGGUCUCUGGGCCACUACUGACGCUGAGAAGCGAAAGCAUGGGGAGCGAACAGG
rnacentral:rRNA from 1 species